rnacentral:rRNA from 1 species
GUGAGGAAUAUUGGUCAAUGGGCGGGAGCCUGAACCAGCCAAGUCGCGUGAAGGAAGAAGGAUCUAUGGUUCGUAAACUUCUUUUGCAGGGGAAUAAAGUGCAGGACGUGUCCUGUUUUGUAUGUACCCUGAGAAUAAGGAUCGGCUAACUCCGUGCCAGCAGCCGCGGUAAUACGGAGGAUCCGAGCGUUAUCCGGAUUUAUUGGGUUAAAGGGUGCGUAGGUGGUUUGAUAAGUCAGCGGUGAAAGUUUGCAGCUUAACUGUAAAAAUGCCGUUGAAACUGUCGGACUUGAGUGUAAAUGAGGUAGGCGGAAUGCGUGGUGUAGCGGUGAAAUGCAUAGAUAUCACGCAGAACUCCGAUUGCGAAGGCAGCUUACUAAGCUACAACUGACACUGAAGCACGAAAGCGUGGGGAUCAAACAGGAUUAGAUACCCGAGUAGUCC